rnacentral:rRNA from 1 species
UGGGAGGGCAAGUCUGGUGCCAGCAGCCGCGGUAAUUCCAGCUCCCAACGUGUAUAUCGUCAUUGCUGCGGUUAAAAAGCUCGUAGUUGGAUCUAAGUUUAUGACAGUAGUUCUCCAUGUGAGAUACUGCGUGUCUGAACUGUUUCGCCGGUUUUCCGUAGUUUCGGCUGCGGUGACUGGUGUUGUAACUUUGAUUAAAUCAAUGUGAUUAAAACAGGCGUUUGCUUGAAUGCUUUAUCAUGGAAUAAUAGAAUAUGACUUCGGUCCAUUCUGUUGGUCUUGGGAUUGAAGUAAUGAUUAAAAGGAACAACUCGGGGGCAUCCGUAUCGCUGCGUGAGAGGUGAAAUUCUUGGACCGCAGCGAGACGACCUAUUGCGAAAGCAUUUGCCAA